UACGGGGGGGGCAAGCGUUGUUCGGAAUUACUGGGCGUAAAGGGCUCGUAGGCGGCCAACUAAGUCAGACGUGAAAUCCCUCGGCUUAACCGGGGAACUGCGUCUGAUACUGGAUGGCUUGAGUUUGGGAGAGGGAUGCGGAAUUCCAGGUGUAGCGGUGAAAUGCGUAGAUAUCUGGAGGAACACCGGGGGCGAAGGCGGCAUCCUGGGCCAACACUGGAGCUGAGUGAGCGAAAGCCAGGGGAGCAAACGGG
rnacentral:rRNA from 1 species